rnacentral:lncRNA from 1 species
CCAUAUUGGCAGUCAUCUACUAGUAACAGGAGAAAUAUUUCAAUCCUUUUGAACAUGAAGAACAACCAUUCAUGAAACACUGAUCAAAUUUAAAGUCAAAGUUUUGAUAAAGGUUGAAGCAAAGCAUGGAGUUGAUGACAAAGAUUAGUGAGGAGCUGAGUAAAACACCAAGUGAAGGUCCAAUACUUAGAGCAGGAUGAAAUAAAUACAUGGGAUAGGAGCUAAGUUCGCAGAAUCAUAUAUGACGCUAAAAUGAUAAAUUACUUAAGACUAUCAAUAUAUGGACCAAAUUUGGCUAUAUCAAAUGUGAAGCAUUAGGCGUUUGACAGAGAAUUCUUCUAGUCACUUAGCUGAGAUGUGAGAACAAAGAGAGAAACUUAUCGGAAUUUAUAUAGAAAGCAGAGGAAUUCUUCAAGAGAAAUCGAAAAGAGUAACAAGACAACAAGUAUAAAACUCAUGAAUCCGAUCGUUUUAGUGAAUAACUAAUCCGAAGUUAGCUUAAUUUGAAACUUAUGUAUGCAGCAUGCUAAACACGUUAAGAAAAAAUAUGCCCAAAAUAAUCAUUUAUCACAUUUCAGAAUCCAAUCAGAUAGUAAUUUCCCAUCCAGAUUCAUAACUUNNNN